rnacentral:rRNA from 1 species
AACGAACGCUGGCGGCAGGCUUAACACAUGCAAGUCGAGCGCCCCGCAAGGGGAGCGGCAGACGGGUGAGUAACGCGUGGGAAUCUACCCAUCCCUACGGAAUAACGCAUGGAAACGUGUGCUAAUACCGUAUACGUCCUUCGGGAGAAAGAUUUAUCGGAGAUGGAUGAGCCCGCGUUGGAUUAGCUAGUUGGUGGGGUAAAGGCCUACCAAGGCGACGAUCCAUAGCUGGUCUGAGAGGAUGAUCAGCCACACUGGGACUGAGACACGGCCCAGAUUCCUACGGGAGGCAGCAGUGGGGAAUAUUGGACAAUGGGCGCAAGCCUGAUCCAGCCAUGCCGCGUGAGUGAUGAAGGCCCUAGGGUUGUAAAGCUCUUUCACCGGUGAAGAUAAUGACGGUAACCGGAGAAGAAGCCCCGGCUAACUUCGUGCCAGCCGCCGCCGUAAUAC